GAAUUUUGGACAAUGGGCGAAAGCCUGAUCCAGCAAUGCCGCGUGCAGGAUGAAGGCCUUCGGGUUGUAAACUGCUUUUGUACGGAACGAAAAGCUUUGGGUUAAUCCCCCCGUGUCAUGACCGUCCCGUAAGACUUAGCACCGGCUCACACAGUGCCACCAGCCGCGGUAAUCAGUAAGGUGCAAGCGUUAUUCGGAAUUACUUGGCGUAAAGCGUGCGCAGGCGGUUUUGUAAGACAGAGGUGAAAUCCCCGGGCUCAACCUGGGAACUGCCUUUGUGACUGCAAGGCUAGAGUACGGCAGAGGUGGGUGGAAUUCCGCGUGUAGCAGUGAAAUGCGUAGAUAUGCGGAGGAACACCGAUGGCGAAGGCAACCCCCUGGGCCUGUACUGACGCUCAUGCACGAAAGCGUGGGGAGCAAACA
rnacentral:rRNA from 1 species